rnacentral:lncRNA from 1 species
CCAGGCAUGCUGGAGCAAGCUAGGAGAGCUGAUCUGGAAUACAUACAUAUACACACUAAUAGUGCACAGCAAUCUUAUAGUAAGAAAUUGUGACUUUUCAUAAUCUUUGAAAAAGAACUUUCCCAUUUCUCACAGUAAUAAAGACACACAAUUGUAUUUAAUGACAUGCAGGUCAGUGACUANNNNNNGCCUCCCAGGCUCAAGUGAUCCUCCCACCUCAGCCUCCCGAGUAGCUGGGACUACAGGUACACACCACCAUGUCCGACCACGUUUUAAAUUUUCUGUAGCAAUAAAUCGGUACAACUUUACUGGAGGGCAAUUUGGCAAAAUGUUAUUGAAGAGUUUUAAAAGGUGCAAGGCGGUGAAAUCUGAACAAGCCCUGUGGAUUAUACCAAUGUCAAUGCUCUGGUUUUGAUACUGUAUAUAGUUAUGUGAGAGGUUACCACUGGGGAUAUGGGUGAAAGGUACAUGGGUUCUCCUGUACUCAUUUCUGCAACUUCCUGUGAAUGAAUUAAUUUCAAAAUAAACAAAGCUGGUGUCCAAGAUUACUGUAAACAAGUUUAGUAACCAUGAGUCACUGUUAAAUGGCCAUGCUAUGAAGAGGCUACUCCCUUUCCCCCCUCUUAAAAUAUGUCAGCAAACUUACUCCUCUCAUGAAAUGAGUGAAUAUAGCUAUUCAACCCUGUGAACACAAGCAUUCAUCGUAAGGAAGGGAACCACCUAUAAGCUGAGCAAGGCAGCCAUACCUCCUUUAUAUAGCAUGUGGUGGGCGAACAGUGUGUAAAUAGUCCCCACACACACCACAUCUGUUUGGUUGUUGGCAGUGACAGACUAAGUCCCACCCCACCCCUGCCCCCAGUUACCUAAAAAUAAGGAUGGUAACAUUAACCGCUUUUUUAAAAUGUAAGAAAAUUAGUUUUGUAUGAAUUCUUUUAAAAGAAUUAGUCUCCUAAGAGACUAAUCUAUUUGUAUCAUACACAAUUCUUAAUGUGGUAACUAUGUACCAUAUAAAACAAAUACAAAUACCAACAUAUAACAAAUAAAGGAAUAAACACUCAAAUGUUAUAUUUAUCAUUUUGUCUGUGAGAUCACAAGAAAUGGAUGGAAAAAGCCCAGGGACAUAAUGAA